GAGGAUGCGAGCGUUAUCCGGAUUUAUUGGGUUUAAAGGGUGCGUAGGCGGGGAGGUAAGUCAGCGGUAAAAUUUCGGUGCUUAACGCCGGACCGCCGUUGAAACUGCCCCUCUUGAGUGGGCGAGAAGUAUGCGGAAUGCGUGGUGUAGCGGUGAAAUGCAUAGAUAUCACGCAGAACUCCGAUUGCGAAGGCAGCAUACCGGCGCCCAACUGACGCUGAGGCACGAAAGCGUGGGUAUCGAA
rnacentral:rRNA from 1 species